UGACCAGCUCUGAUUCAGUUUGAGAAAAGAGGACACAAAAGCAUGAAUAACAGGAGGAUGGAUAUAGAAUACCAGCAUCAGCAGGUGUACACGAUUUAAAGCACAUUUGGUAUCUAUUACCAAGCUGCCCUUCAGAGAGGUUGUCUCGUUACACAUUCCACAGCUGUGACUGAGAAACCGUCUUGUCGCAUUUGACAAUCCAGGUUACUAUCUAAAAACUUGAGUUUGUAAGAGCAACACGCCAUGAGAUAAUAUUCGUGCAAACGUAACUGACAAAAGACUAACAUCCCAUAAUACUAGAGCACCUACAAACCAAGAAGAUAAACAUCCCAUUGGGAAAGUGUAAAAAUAUGAACAUAAAGUUUACAGAAGAAAAAACACAAAUGGCUCAUAAACACACAAAAAGAUGAUAUUGUUUCCUGGUAAUUGGGGAAAUGCAAACAAAAACUACAAUGAAAUAUCGUGGUAUCGUGUAUCAAAU
rnacentral:lncRNA from 1 species